GGGGAACAUCCAUAGUUGUAGAUGUUGCCUGAUAUAAGCUUCCUAUAGAAAACUCUAUAAUUUCCUGCUUGUGGCUGUUAAGAAAGUUCACAUGUCUCCAAUUAUAAGAUACACAG
rfam:Daucus carota subsp. sativus cultivar DH1 chromosome 9, whole genome shotgun sequence.